UGAUCGAGUGGUCUGCGGUGGGACGCGGACCGAGAAUGGAUCAACGGACCCCACGCCGUCACUGACGAGGCGCACCGUAGCCCGACGGCGCGUUUC
rfam:Rhodobacteraceae bacterium PD-2 genomic scaffold scaffold1, whole genome shotgun sequence.